CCCUUAAUUAAGCGCCACAAGAGACGUCCCUUACGGGACACGUGUCGCGACAUCUCCAUCUCUCUCUCAUCUUCUGAACUUCUCCGUGAAGACUUCCACCGCCAGAAUCACCGCCGUCUCAGUCGCUUCACCACGUCCUCAUCAAUCGUCGCCAUAAGAAAGGAGUACGCCAAUCGGUGGAACCAGCACGGUCUCGGUGGAGAUAACGUGAAGGGGAUUGACUCUCGUUUUGACUCUCUUUGAUCUUUUUUUUUUUUUUGCAGAAGCCUGAUUUGGAUUUUCGUUUGAAUUUUAAUUUGGGUUGGGGUCAAUUGAGGAGAUUCAAGUCGCAUAAGAAAGGAGUACGCCAAUUGAAAAGGGUUUAGUUUAGUUUUUGUGAUUUUCUUUGGUCUGAUAGCGAUAGAGGUAGUGGAAGAUGGGUAUGAGUUUUUCGCUAAACGGAGAUUAGUGACUAUCUUCUCUGCUCCAAACUAUGGCUGGGAGUUUGACAAUGCAGGUGCAUUAUCGAGCGUGGACCAAUCUCUUGUCUGCUCUUUUGAGAUUCUGAAACCUGCCCCAUCUUCAAGCGGUAUUGCUCUCAAAAAGGGAUCUUUAAGGGAGGAAGACCAGUGGUUAUAUGAAUGAUAUUCAAGAGUUUGAGCCUGUGGUAAGGCCGCCAACGAUGGAAUCAAACUAUCCUUUGCUGGAGAUUGAAGAGGUUGUGGCUGGUGGUGAUGGAAUCAAACUAUCCUCAUAGCAACUGUGUACGUGCCUACUGCUAAAGGACCUUUCCUUGAGGAUCUCUCUCGCUCUGUGGUGCCUCCAAAGAAGCCAAGCAUAGCUGAGGAGCCUGCAACAUCUCUGUCUCCGGCAUAAGAAAGUUGUCAAUAAUUGCUAAGUGCUUGUCGAAAGUCUUUUCACUUCUUGUAUCACGGCAAGAUUAAUGACAAUAAUUUAUA